rnacentral:lncRNA from 1 species
UAUACUUUGUUAAGGCCGGGUCUGAGCUCUUGUACUAGGCCUCCGGACUUUUUGAAAUGAAUAUUCAUGUGUGGAAACUUGUCUAUUGUAGCUUAAGUUUCUUUGCUCGGAUCUAUUUUAGGUUCCGAGGAUACGGGCUCUAGGGCCUGAGCUUAAGUUUUGGCUUGCCGAGCUCCAUUGCUCGGUUCUUCGACCAAUGGUAUAGCAAC